UACGUAGGGUGCAAGCGUUAAUCGGAAUUACUGGGCGUAAAGCGUGCGCAGGCGGUUCUAUAAGACAGAUGUGAAAUCCCCGGGCUCAACCUGGGAACUGCAUUUGUGACUGUAGAGCUGGAGUACGGCAGAGGGGGAUGGAAUUCCGCGUGUAGCAGUGAAAUGCGUAGAGAUCCGGAGGAACACCGACGGCGAAGGCAGCGCCCUGGACGAGAUCUGACGCUCAGGCACGAAAGCUGGGGGAGCAAACAGG
rnacentral:rRNA from 1 species